AGAGUUUGAUCCUGGCUCAGGAUGAACGCUAGCGGCAGGCUUAACACAUGCAAGUCGAGGGGCAGCAUGAAGGUUAGCAAUAACCUUUGAUGGCGACCGGCGCAAGGGUGCGUAACGCGUGAGCAACUUGCCCGUUUCUGGGGAAUAACCGGUGGAAACGCCGACUAAUACCCCAUGGCAUCAGAUUGAGGCAUCUUAAUUUGAUUAAAGAAUUUCGGAAACGGAUAGGCUCGCGUGACAUUAGCUAGAUGGCGGGGUAACGGCCCACCAUGGCUACGAUGUCUAGGGGUUCUGAGAGGAAGGUCCCCCACACUGGAACUGAGACACGGUCCAGACUCCUACGGGAGGCAGCAGUGAGGAAUAUUGGUCAAUGGUCUGACGACUGAACCAGCCAUGCCGCGUGAAGGUCACGGCCCUAUGGGUCUUAAACUUCUUUUGCAAGGGAGCAAUAAGGUGUACGUGUACAUCGAUGAGAGUACCUUGCGAAUAAGCAUCGGCUAACUCCGUGCCAGCAGCCGCGGUAAUACGGGGGAUGCGAGCGUUAUCCGGAUUUAUUGGGUUUAAAGGGUGCGUAGGCGGUCUGUUAAGUCAGCGGUGAAAUUUAGGGGCUCAACCUCUACCGUGCCGUUGAUACUGGCAGGCUGGAAUGCGGAUGCCGUGGGAGGAAUGUGUGGUGUAGCGGUGAAAUGCAUAGAUAUCACACAGAACACCGAUUGCGAAGGCAUCUCACGAAUCCGCUAUUGACGCUGAUGCACGAAAGCGUGGGGAUCAAACAGGAUUAGAUACCCUGGUAGUCCACGCUGUAAAACGAAGAAGACUAACCCGUCCGCAAAUACACAGUCCGGUGGCCAAACCAAAACCAAAAAGUCCUCCCCCCUUGGGGAAGAACCAACCCCAAGGUUAAAACCUAAAAGAAAUUGAACGGGGC
rnacentral:rRNA from 1 species